GGGUUGGUGAUGAAUCUUCUUAUUGUUUUGAAGAGAGAUGAUGACUUAAAACUCUUGCUCAAUAGGAUUACGCUGAGGCCU
ensembl:snoRNA SNORD115 Small nucleolar RNA SNORD115